GAUGAACGCUGGCGGCGUGCUUAACACAUGCAAGUCGAACGAAGCACCUCUCCCGAAGAUUGACACGGCUUGCUGUAGAUUGAUUCAUUUGAGGUGACUGAGUGGCGGACGGGUGAGUAACGCGUGGGUAACCUGCCUCAUAGAGGGGGACAACAGUUGGAAACGACUGCUAAUACCGCAUAGUAAGAAGAAUUCGCAUGUUUUCUUCUUGAAAGAUUUAUCGCUAUGAGAUGGACCCGCGUCUGAUUAGCUAGUUGGUAAGGUAACGGCUUACCAAGGCGACGAUCAGUAGCCGGCUUGAGGGAGUGAACGGCCACAUUGGGACUGAGACACGGCCCAAACUCCUACGGGAGGCAGCAGUGGGGAAUAUUGCACAAUGGGGGAAACCCUGAUGCAGCGACGCCGCGUGAGUGAAGAAGUAUUUCGGUAUGUAAAGCUCUAUCAGCAGGGAAGAUAAUGACGGUACCUGACUAAGAAGCCCCGGCUAACUACGUG
rnacentral:rRNA from 1 species